rnacentral:rRNA from 1 species
GAUGAACGCUGGCGGCGUGCCUAAUACAUGCAAGUCGAGCGAAUGGAUUAAGAGCUUGCUCUUAUGAAGUUAGCGGCGGACGGGUGAGUAACACGUGGGUAACCUGCCCAUAAGACUGGGAUAACUCCGGGAAACCGGGGCUAAUACCGGAUAACAUUUUGAACCGCAUGGUUCGAAAUUGAAAGGCGGCUUCGGCUGUCACUUAUGGAUGGACCCGCGUCGCAUUAGCUAGUUGGUGAGGUAACGGCUCACCAAGGCAACGAUGCGUAGCCGACCUGGGAGGGUGAUCGGCCACACUGGGACUGAGACACGGCCCAGACUCCUACGGGAGGCAGCAGUAGGGAAUCUUCCGCAAUGGACGAAGGUCUGACGGAGCAACGCCGCGUGAGUGAUGAAGGCUUUCGGGUCGUAAAACUCUGUUGUUAGGGAAGAACAAGUGCUAGUUGAAUAAGCUGGCACCUUGACGGUACCUAACCAGAAAGCCACGGCGAACUACGUGCCAGCCGCCGCGGUAA